UACGAAGGGGGCUAGCGUUGCUCGGAAUUACUGGGCGUAAAGGGCGCGUAGGCGGUUAUCUAAGUUUGUUGUGAAAUCCCGGGGCUCAACCUCGGAAUUGCCUUCAAAACUGGAUAUCUUGAGUUCGGGAGAGGUGAGUGGAACUCCGAGUGUAGAGGUGAAAUUCGUAGAUAUUCGGAAGAACACCAGUGGCGAAGGCGACUCACUGGCCCGAUACUGACGCUGAGGCGCGAAAGCGUGGGGAGCAAACAGG
rnacentral:rRNA from 1 species